rnacentral:rRNA from 1 species
GAUGAACGCUGGCAGCGUGCCUAAUACAUGCAAGUCGAGCGAACGGACGAGAAGCUUGCUUCUCUGAUGUUAGCGGCGGACGGGUGAGUAACACGUGGAUAACCUACCUAUAAGACUGGGAUAACUUCGGGAAACCGGAGCUAAUACCGGAUAAUAUUUUGAACCGCAUGGUUCAAAAGUGAAAGACGGUCUUGCUGUCACUUAUAGAUGGAUCCGCGCUGCAUUAGCUAGUUGGUAAGGUAACGGCUUACCAAGGCAACGAUGCAUAGCCGACCUGAGAGGGUGAUCGGCCACACUGGAACUGAGACACGGUCCAGACUCCUACGGGAGGCAGCAGUAGGGAAUCUUCCGCAAUGGGCGAAAGCCUGACGGAGCAACGCCGCGUGAGUGAUGAAGGUCUUCGGAUCGUAAAACUCUGUUAUUAGGGAAGAACAUAUGUGUAAGUAACUGUGCACAUCUUGACGGUACCUAAUCAGAAAGCCACGGCUAACUACGUG